rnacentral:misc_RNA from 1 species
GAUGAAGAACGUAGCGAAAUGCGAUAAGUAAUGUGAAUUGCAGAAUUCAGUGAAUCAUCGAAUCUUUGAACGCACCUUGCGCCCUUUGGCCAUUCCGAAGGGCAUGCCUGUUUGAGUAUCAUGAACACCUCAACUCUCAUGGCUUGCCAUGAUGAGCUUGGACUUUGGGGGUCUUGCUGGCCUGCGGUCAGCUCCUCUCAAAUGAAUUAGCUUUCCAGUGUUUGGUUGGCAUCACAGGUGUGAUAACUAUCUACGCUUGUGGUUUCCACCAGGUAACCUUCAGUAACAUGGGGGUUUGCUGGAGCUCAUAAAUGUCUCUCCUCAGUGGGGACAGCUCUUUGAACAUUUGAUCUCAAAUCAGGUAGGACUACCCGCUGAACUUAAGCAUAUCAAUAAGCGGAGGA